rnacentral:rRNA from 1 species
GACGAACGCUGGCGGCGUGCUUAACACAUGCAAGUCGAACGCUGAAGCUCAGCUUUUGUUGGGUGGAUGAGUGGCGAACGGGUGAGUAACACGUGAGUAACCUGCCUCCUUCUUUGGGAUAACGCCCGGAAACGGGUGCUAAUACUGGAUAUUCACUGGUCUUCGCAUGGGGGUUGGUGGAAAGGGUUUUUCUGGUGGGGGAUGGGCUCGCGGCCUAUCAGCUUGUUGGUGGGGUGAUGGCCUACCAAGGCUUUGACGGGUAGCCGGCCUGGGAGGGUGACCGGUCACAUUGGGACCGAGAUACGGCCCAGACUCCUACGGGAGGCAGCAGUGGGGAAUAUUGCACAAUGGGCGCAAGCCUGAUGCAGCGACGCCGCGUGAGGGAUGGAGGCCUUCGGGUUGUGAACCUCUUUCGCUCAUGGUCAAGCCGCAACAAUGGUUGUGGUGAGGGUAGUGGGUAAAGAAGCGCCGGCUAACUACGUG